AAAAAGUAAUUACAAAAGUGCUUUUAUUAAACAUAUUUAAUAGAAAUUAAUUAAAAUUACAAGAAAAAUCGCUUAAAUAAAGGAAGCUCUUAAUGAGGCAUAACUCUAGUGGAAAUCAAUUAUAAAGUUCUCAAAACAUAAAAAAGCAGCUGAAAA